AAAUAAGUAAGCUAAAUAAGCUUUUAGGUUCAUACCCUAACUAUAGAAAAUUAAUAAAAUCUCUUAUUUA
rnacentral:tRNA from 1 species